rnacentral:rRNA from 1 species
GUCCACGCCGUAAACGAUGAUCACUCGUGAUUGGCGAUAUACGGUCAGUCACCUAGCGAAAGCGUUAAGUGAUCCACCUGGGGAGUACGAUCGCAAGAUUGAAACUCAAAGGAAUUGACGGGGGCCCGCACAAGCGGUGGAGCAUGUGGUUUAAUUCGAUGAUACGCGAGGAACCUUACCAGGGCUCGAACGCACGUUGACAGGGGUGGAAACAUCCUCUUCUUCGGACAGCGUGCGAGGUGCUGCAUGGCUGUCGU